CAAUAGCGUAUAUUUAAGUUGUUGCAGUUAAAAAGCUCGUAGUUGGAUUUCGGAUGGGAUUUGCCGGUCCGUCGUUACGAUGUGCACUGGCCAGUCCUAUCUUGUUGUCGGGGACUAGCUCCUUGGAUUCACUUCCUGGGACUAGGAGCUGACGAGGUUACUUUGAGUAAAUUAGAGUGUUCAAAGCAAGCCUACGCUCUGAAUACAUUAGCAUGGAAUAACACGAUAGGACUCUGGCUUAUCUUGUUGGUCUGUGAGACCAGAGUAAUGAUUAAGAGGGACAGUCGGGGACAUUCGUAUUUCAUUGUCGGAGGUGAAAUUCUUGGAUUUAUGAAAGACGAACUUCUGCGAAAGCGUUUGUCAAGGAUGUUUUCAUUAA
rnacentral:rRNA from 1 species